CUUCCCAAAUCCGGAAGGGGCCCUGGUGCCCUCUGGUGAGAUGAGACCAUUUCUUUACAUAGUUAGGAAAGUGAGCCUGGAGCCAGGUGCCAGGCUCCAUCUCGGAGGGACACAGCCAGCCCUGGGAAGGCGCGUCUACUCCCCAGAUGACCUUCUCCUAACUUUAUGAGCCGGUGAAACGAAUUUGAUGGGCUUAGUGAGCUCGGAUCUGAUUUUCGUCAACAACUUUGAGGACAAUCCUCAUUUUCAGGAGAUUCUGAGGUUCCCUUUGCUCAAUGACUUUUCUAAGUUCACCGAGCGAGGCUGACAGCUGGGCUUCUGCCUGCAAAUCCAUGUUUGUUCUGAUGGAGCUUGACAGCAUAGACCUGCUCAGAUACAGACUCUCCAAUGCUGCCUAGGUGUGUGUGUUUGCUUGUGUGUGUCUGAUCUGUGUGUGUGCAUUUGUGCUGUUUGCAUGUGUGUGUGAUCUGUGUGUGCAUCUGUGGUGUGUGUGUUUGCGUGUGUCUGAUCUGUGUAUAUGAGGAGGUUGCGCACAGUGGGGGGAUUUGAGGAGGUUGCACACAGUAUUGGGAUUUGAGGAGUUUGCACACAUUGUGGGGGAUUUUGGGAGGUUGCACAGAGUGGGGGGCAUUUGGGUAGGUUGCACACGGGGAAAUUUGGUGAGGUUGCACACAGUGGCGGGAUUUAGUGUGGUUGCCCACAGUGGGGUGAGAUUUGGGGAGUUUGCAGAGUGGGGGUGAUUUGGGGAGUUUGCACAGAGUCGGGGGGAUUUGGGGGAGGUUGCAC
rnacentral:lncRNA from 10 species